GGAGAUAGUUGUUGUGGGAGCAAUAUCCGGUGGCUUGGCUUCUGUCACCACAACGCCUUUUGAUGUCAUCAAAACCAGAAUGAUGACUACACAAGGCCAGUCUGUGUCAAUGACCAUAGUAGCCUUAUCUAUACUCCAUCACGAGGGACCGCUCGGCUUGUUUAAAGGUGCAGUUCCCAGGUUCUUUUCAAUUGCUCCUCUAGGUGCCAUGAACUUUGCAGGUUAUGAGCUAGUAAGGAAGGCCCUGAAUAAAAAUGAGGAGUAAUUAUGCAAUCAAAAUUCAAGCUGCAACCUUUGGAAUCAUGUAAUCCAAGAAACCAAAUGCCAAUUGAAGUUUCAACCCCCCUUUUGAGUUCAAUUGCUACUCCUCUCUGGAUUCUUAAUCUGCCGAAAUCUCUCUGAAAUGCACAUUUGUUUCCUUGUCCAUUAUGUACCUUUUGAGUUGCCAAAUGUAAUGUAGCACUGUAACUCAAAUUAGAGAUUUUGAUUUUAUUCCUUUCAUCUCUGUCAUUUUUUUAAUCUUUGAAGGAAUAAUUUGUUAUCUAAAACUUUUGGAGGAUUAAUAUGAUGAUAUAUGUACUUUGAAGAAUCAUCUCAAGAGUUUACACAUACUUUUAUGGGUAAAAUUUGUAAUGUGUGGUUUCCCUUUUAGUCCUUUUAUAAAUUCACAUGCUUCUAAUGCAUGCUAUAAGCCUAUAAGGACCUGUUAUUGCAAAAUAUUGAAGCAUAUUCAUAUAUAGCCAUUAUGCUUUCAACUCUUUCUUAGGGAUGCUUGCAACUUCUCUCUUCUUGAUGUUUGGAUCUUCNNNNNNNNNNNNNNNNNNNNNNNNNNNNNNNNNNNNNNNNNNNNNNNNNNNNNNNNNNNNNNNNNNNNNNNNNNNNNNNNNNNNNNNNNNNNNNNNNUGUGGGGUGCUAAAGCAGCGGUUGCAGGCAGGUCUCUAUGAUAAUGUGGCUGAGGCUUUAGUUGGGACCUGGCGUAAGGAUGGACUUGGGGGUUUCUUUCGAGGAACUGGGACUACCCUUUGUCGUGAGGUUCCAUUUUAUGUUGCUGGUAUGGGUCUAUAUGACGAAUCUAAAAAGGUAUGUAGUUUCCAUGAUCCGGUGUGCUUGUUAGUAACUUUCUGAGGACUUGAGUUUGUCCCUGGAAAUUUGAGAUCUGUGCUUUGUAAAAUUGUUUGAAGCUACUGCAUAUAUUAAAUUGUAUGAUUUCUCUAUCCAUUCAAAUUAAAAGACUAGUUUUUAGUCAGAAUAUAUAGCAAUGUUGGCAGUUAUAAUAAAGGAGAUAGCCACUAAGUUUAUUCACUUUACUAAAUGUUUUUAAGAAAUUGUUAAUUAUAUUUACUUCAAUAAUAGUAUAAGUCCCUCUUAGUUUUCCUUAUUUUAUCAAGGUUACAAGUCUUCGUGAGCUUGAGGUGUGUACUACUUACUAGUAAUACUAACAUUUUUCUAUUGGAGUAUGAAGUGUUUUACAUCACAUUACAUCUAUCAACUGUAUUUUCAGUUUAUUACAUUUAGCUCUCAUUUCCUUUACCCUAAUCCGAUAAUUCUUGGACUGUUUAAUUGUUUCUUUCCUUUUGAAGAAUCCAUAUUGUUUUUAAGGGUGGGAAAGUCCUUGUCAACAAUCAGAAAUGUGUUCUAUACAUUAACAUCUUUUUGGAUUACUAAUUAUGUCUCAUGUAAUCCAACCAUGUUUAAUGCUUUCAUUUUUCUGAAAAUCUUGACUGUACCUGAGAUUUGUGAGACGAUAGAAGAUCUGUCAUAUUAGCUUCAUUACUUGUGUUUACAAUAAAUUGGAAUCAAAUGUUUUAGGUUUCUAGAAUAGUUUAAUGAAUAUGCACACUGUUAGUGUAAAGAAGUUUUACACUAUCGUCCAACCAUUCUGCGCCACAUGACAAACUGUUACAUUCAUCUUUUAUUUUGAUUAAAUUAAAAUUGUAUUUUCUGGUGUAUCUACCAUUUUCUCUUCUAAAAUAACAACUUCUGGAAAAACGAAGGAAAAACUAGAACGAAAAAAGAUCAAGAAUGGAGCUAGUAUUUAUUAUUUCAGGAUACCAAGUGUUAAAUUGGUCUUGUGUGAUCUUGUUUUAAGGUUGUCCAACGACUACUCCGGCGGGAACUGGAGCCCUGGGAGAUAGUUGUUGUGGGAGCAAUAUCCGGUGGCUUGGCUUCUGUCACCACAACGCCUUUUGAUGUCAUCAAAACCAGAAUGAUGACUACACAAGGCCAGUCUGUGUCAAUGACCAUAGUAGCCUUAUCUAUACUCCAUCACGAGGGACCGCUCGGCUUGUUUAAAGGUGCAGUUCCCAGGUUCUUUUCAAUUGCUCCUCUAGGUGCCAUGCACUUUGCAGGUUAUGAGCUAGUAAGGAAGGCCCUGAAUAAAAAUGAGGAGUAAUUAUGCAAUCAAAAUUCAAGCUGCAACCUUUGGAAUCAUGUAAUCCAAGAAACCAAAUGCCAAUUGAAGUUUCAACCCCCCUUUUGAGUUCAAUUGCUACUCCUCUCUGGAUUCUUAAUCUGCCGAAAUCUCUCUGAAAUGCACAUUUGUUUCCUUGUCCAUUAUGUACCUUUUGAGUUGCCAAAUGUAAUGUAGCACUGUAACUCAAAUUAGAGAUUUUGAUUUUAUUCCUUUCAUCUCUGUCAUUUUUUUAAUCUUUGAAGGAAUAAUUUGUUAUCUAAAACUUUUGGAGGAUUAAUAUGAUGAUAUAUGUACUUUGAAGAAUCAUCUCAAGAGUUUACACAUACUUUUAUGGGUAAAAUUUGUAAUGUGUGGUUUCCCUUUUAGUCCUUUUAUAAAUU
rnacentral:lncRNA from 1 species